rnacentral:lncRNA from 1 species
AUUAAUGCAACGUUUAAUUCUCGGGUAGGUGGUGAGGAUGAUGAUGAAAUGCUUACUACCCAAGAUUGGACGAAUGUUAAAAUUCUUUUUGAUUUUUUAGAACAUUUUCAAGUUGCUACAAAUGCAUUUUCUAGGCAAUAUUAUUCUACUAUUUGAAACUGUUUAGUUUAUAUUGCCGCACUAGCUGAUUUGUUUGUUGAAUUUGGCGAGGGUGGGGAUAUUUAUGAACUUGCU